rnacentral:rRNA from 1 species
UACGUAGGGCGCAAGCGUUAUCCGGAAUUAUUGGGCGUAAAGAGCUCGUAGGCGGUUUGUCGCGUCUGCCGUGAAAGUCCGGGGCUCAACUCCGGAUCUGCGGUGGGUACGGGCAGACUAGAGUGAUGUAGGGGAGACUGGAAUUCCUGGUGUAGCGGUGAAAUGCGCAGAUAUCAGGAGGAACACCAAUAGCGAAGGCAGCUCGCUGGGACGGUAUUGACGCUAAGGCGCGAAAGCCAGGGGAGCAAACGGG